CGGGGCGCCGCGCCGCGCGCUCGGGUUCCCACACCGCCCUUCUCCCGAGCCCUCGUCGUGUGGCUUCGGUCGCUACCGAGCCGCGCCUCCUCCGCUUCCUCCUCCUCCUCCUGGCUGCCCUCGAGAGGCACCGCCGCUUCCUGCGGUGCUGAAGGGCUGGGGUACGGGCCUGGGCCUACAGCGCGGCGGCGCAGAGAGCCGGCUGGUUGUUGACUUGAGGGGUUGGGGGCCGCGACGGCGCUCCAGCCAGGGCGCCUCGGUUGACUGGCAGUUCUGCUUCACAUGGCCACAGGCACAGCUGGAAGUUCCAGAAUGGCUUCCCUCACAUGGCAGGCAGUUGGUGCGGCUAGAGGCUGCCUUAGAAUGGUCGUGGGUCAGGGGCCUUGGCUCUUCUCCACUCGGACCUCUCCAUAAAGGCCUUUCACACGACUGCUUGAAUUGCCUCACAAACUGGAGGGUGAGUUCCAAGAAGGAGCAUUUCAAGACAAGAAGUGCCAGUGUCGGCGGCAAAACUCAUCUCCCCAAGGAUGCCCAUCUGUGAGCACAUGGAAGAGUCUCCUGUCUGUUCCCAGACAUCCAACCUGGUCUGUGGCACCAAUGGUGUUACGUAUAACAAUGAAUGUCAGAUCUGCUUGAUCCGGCUGAAAACCAAAGAGGACAUCCAGAUCCUGAAGGAUGGCAAAUGCUGACCCCCA